rnacentral:lncRNA from 1 species
UUACUUCUGGCUUUCCUCUGUCCAAGCGGCCAGCAAGUAUCGAUCGACUGUACUCAAGACUGUCCUGGCCCCCGGUGUAAGUUUUCUACCAUGGUCAGCACCCCGCUGGAGUAUUGGGGUGAAGCAAGGACUUUCCCCGAUUACCAUUCUGGGAAAGGAGGGGUGACAAACAACUGCUACCUUGAAGAGCGGGUGCCUGCCUAGCCCCAGACUUGCUUCCUGAGACAAGCAACUUUUAAUUUUCCACGUAUGGCCGAGGGGAUUGGGGCAGACCGAUUUCUAUCAGUUUUCCCACGUAGUGGAAGAGGAGAAAGAGAGCCAACAGUGUCAUCGUCCUCCUGCACGGUCGCCUUCAUUUACAUCAGGAGCUCUUCCCCUUUUUUUGUGUCAUGAAUGAGGUGAGCAGUCUGGUGAAACCUAUAGACCCCUUCUCAGAAUGUUUUUAAAUGCAUAAAUAUAGAUG